AAACGUAAUUUCAACGUCAAUGCGACUUGUCAUUGUUCUCCUGGAGACGUUUUUCUUGGAGCGAAAAUUACUUUCUUUUGCCCGCCAUGAUUUCGAUGUAGGUAACCAAAAGCAACCAGACAGCUUCACGCUAGCGAAAUGAGCAUAUCACGACAAGUAAAAAAGACGACCUUCAGAUCUACCUUCCUGUGGUUCUGAACAAUCGUUCUGCGCUGGACCCUCUCCAUAACUUCAUUCAGGACAUUAAACUGUGGCUUUCUCAGAAUUGCCUUCACUUUAAUGAAGACAUAGGCUGGAGGUCCCUCACAGUCAUCCCUCCCAGGCUUCUUGUGAGUGCUGCUGCUCUUGGAGAAUCAUCUACAAACAACACAGAUGCUCCUAUAAAAAAAUCACAUGGCCAGUUGAGGACAGUGAUGAUGAAGACUUUGACUUAGACUCCACCUGCCGCAUCACUGGCUUUCUAAGGAUGUUCAUUGAAACCGCUUCAUCGGGUACCCUGGCCCAGCUGCUGACAUUCUGGGUUGGCUGGGAGAUGCUUCCUCCUGAACUGAGAGUGAAGAUUUCUGGGGGACCCCUUCCUACAUCCUCCACAUGCUUUGAAACACUAAAGCUGCCAGCUCAUUUCAAAAUCUACAGGGACUUUGAGAAAGCACUUGUUGCUGCCAUAAACAGUACUGGAUUUGGGCUUGUUUAAGCUUUUUCAGACCGAUGUCAAUGCAUAUACUGUUCAGAUGAAUUGACACAAGUUCAGUGUCUUUGAAAACAUUAACACACUGUGCAGUAGUUGACAAUUUUUUUUAUUCUACAUAUUUUUUCCAUUUACUGAAAUCAAACAGUUCUGCACCUUCAGUGCUAACAGUACAGCAUUCAUGUUAGUCAUUCUGUGGACCGUAGUGAGACAGGAAGACAGCUAUAAAACAGCUAUUUUUUUUUCUUAUUAAGU